rnacentral:ncRNA from 12 species
GCAUUGGCGCGGACAGACGGUGCUGCAGAUGCGAAAUCGCCUGGAGCUAAGAGGGAAGCCGGUGCGAUACCGGCGCUGUGCCCGCAACUGUGAGCCAGGAGCCCCGAACCAACACGUCACUGGCCAAGCCCUGCACUGGGUGGCGCCGGGAAGACGGUUCGAAGGCGUUGAUCGGCAAGCCAGGAGACCUGCCGUCGCGUCGUUCGUCCGG